GUCACUUUGCCGGAGUGGUUAACGGGAUCGCCUGCUAUUUCCGAUCCUGACUGUUAGCAUUAGCGGUUGCUCUUUGAGCGCGUGUGUUCGAAUCGCACAGGUGACG